GAUGAACGCUGACAGGAUGCUUAACACAUGCAAGUCUACUUGAAUUUGGGUUUUUUAACUUAGAUUUGGGUGGCGGACGGGUGAGUAACGCGUAAAGAACUUGCCUCACAGUUAGGGACAACAUUUGGAAACGAAUGCUAAUACCUGAUAUUAUGAAUAUAUGGCAUCAUAUAAUUAUGAAAGCUAUAAGCGCUGUGAGAGAGCUUUGCGUCCCAUUAGCUAGUUGGAGAGGUAACGGCUCACCAAGGCGAUGAUGGGUAGCCGGCCUGAGAGGGUGAACGGCCACAAGGGGACUGAGACACGGCCCUUACUCCUACGGGAGGCAGCAGUGGGGAAUAUUGGACAAUGGACCAAGAGUCUGAUCCAGCAAUUCUGUGUGCACGAUGACGUUUUUCGGAAUGUAAAGUGCUUUCAGUUGGGAAGAAAAAAAUGACGGUACCAACAGAAGAAGUGACGGCUAAAUACGUG
rnacentral:rRNA from 1 species